CUGAUCCAAAAUCCUCAAAGCUUCAUAGAACUGAAACAAACAUUUAUUUUUAGCUCCAUUCUGCUGCUGAUACAGACUUUAGGUUUCUGAACAUUACACUUGUUGCUGCCUUUCAUAGUGUGUAACUUGAAGGCCCUGAGUACUUUCUCCCACACUGAAAACACUGGGAUGAUCACAUUAUUUGAACAUUACCUAAUAAGACUGAUUCAGGACAGACAAUUAGUUAUGUUAAACUUUCCUAGCAGUCCUUCACAAACAGGGAACAGUCUGUCUAUUCUCUCCAUCUGUCAGCUGCUGCUGGCUCUUCCUCCUCCUCUUCCUCACACACUGCUGAGUUUGUCCUGGUGGAUCAUCAGGGCUGCAAAGCCUCAUAGAUGAUAUGCAGCAGUGGGUCCCUCAGUCUGUCCUCACUCUGGACACUUGCAGUCGUCACACAUGGAAAUCAAAUGUGUGAUAAGCUGCAGGAUUCAAACACAAGUGUAACUUAUAAACACAUGUUCAUACUUUUAUUCCACAAUCAGAAAGAAACAGAGAGAGAGUGCAGGACAGACAGACAGGUGACAGUCUCAGGUGUACACACUGCUACAAACAGGAGGAUUUAGUGUUUGUGUUAUUACGAGUGCUAAACAAGAAGAGUUCCAGAUGGUGCAGUGGACACAUGUGUGACUGCUGUGAUUAAAGCAUCUUUCUUUCAGCUUAACGAGUGAACCGUCAGCUCGUUCAAACACACGUUAAAGUCCGUUUGGCUCGACACCACCGAACAGAGGCAGCAAUAUAACAUAGCUAACAUUAACAGUGCAGUGAAUCCUGCUGGUGCCGUGAUAUUCAGGACUGCAAACCGAGCAGCAUCACUGACUUUCAGCUUGUUGUGUUUGUGGAUAUAUGACUGACUUUAAUUAUCCAUAAAAUCAUCAGAUUCUCUGUAAGAUUAAGGUCGACUAUCGAACGGCGUAUAAAGGCUUUAAAACAAAGUAAACGCUGAAAGUUCAAACAUCGCUAAUGUCACAUAACUUUGCCGGCAUGUGGCCAACAGUAAUGUUUUAAUGUUUCUCAUUAUUAAACAUUUGCACAUAAAUAAGUGACAUAACAUUCAGUACUUACUUUUGAAAGUUUACUCUUUGGCUGCUCCGCUUCCACUUCUUUGAAGUGUCUCCCAGUCCCAGUGCACUUGUUAGCAUGUUUUGGUUCAUGCAACUGGUCCGUCCGCUUAUUGUCUCCCCAGAAACAUUUCCGUUGUGUUGUGUGUGCUUUUGCAGCGUUUUUCUUUUUGCAGCGUUUUUCUUUUUGCAGCAUUUUUCUUUUUGCAGCGUUUUUCUUUUUUGCAGCGUUUUUCUUUUUGCAGCAUUUUUCUUUUUGCAGCGUUUUUCUUUUCGCAGCAUUUUUCUUUUUGCAGCAUUUUUCUUUUUGCAGCAUUUUUCUUUUUGCAGCGUUUUUCUUUUUGCAGCAUUUUUCUUUUUGCAGCAUUUUUCUUUUUGCAGCGUUUUUCUUUUUGCAGCGUUUUUCUUUUUGCAGCGUUUUUCUUUUUGCAGCAUUUUUCUUUUUGCAGGUGUUUUUCUUUUUGCAGCUGUUUUUCUUUUUGCAGCAUUUUUCUUUUUGCAAGUGUUUUCUGAAGUUGCAGUCCGUUUGGCCUCUCAGGGCCACCGUAAAAAAAAAAAGGCUUUAGGAUAUAAGGUUUCCUGGAAUAAUCUACAAAUUGAGCUAAAAUUGUCAGAAACGAGAGAACAGCUCUUUUGGUCAGUGUUCUUGUUUUGGUCAUUUAUUGCACACAACUCAUACAUUUGUGUUCACUGGUCUGUACAGAAUAUAGUAUUUAAACAUUCUGAAUGAAUAUUGGUUCUUUACUUGUUAUAUUAUUAGUGGUAUUUGUUGUAACAUCUUCUGCCCCCUGCUGGUCUCUCUUGGAAAUAUGAGAAACGAGUCUUUUGUCU
ensembl:lncRNA